rnacentral:lncRNA from 1 species
CACUGGCAGAGAUAAAUCUUGCCAAUACUUACUAUGGCUCAUCUAGUGGUUCUUGCUCUUUCAGAAAGUACCAUGGCUGCACUCACGCUCCAGUGAUAAGGAAGCUACCAUCAAAGUGCCUCAGUUCCUUAUAACCAGGCAAGACUGGUGGAAGGCCUGAUUCAUCGGGACUACAAUCAGGCAGCUCAGGAUCUUUCCCAUGGGUUGUCAAAGUGCUCCUCUCUGGGAGGAACAGGCUGCAGCUUCAGCUGAACCCAGGAUCUCACUAUGUAGACAACACGAACUUUGAAUUCACAGAGAUCCUUCUCCUCUCAAGUAUUGGGAUUAAAGGAAUGUGUCACA